rnacentral:rRNA from 1 species
AUGAACGCUGGCGGCGUGCCUAAUACAUGCAAGUCGAGCGAACGGACGAGAAGCUUGCUUCUCUGAUAUUAGCGGCGGACGGGUGAGUAACACGUGGAUAACCUACCUAUAAGACUGGGAUAACUUCGGGAAACCGUAGCUAAUACCGGAUAAUAUUUUGAACCGCAUGGUUCAAAAGUGAAAGACGGUCUUGCUGUCACUUAUAGAUGGAUCCGCGCUGCAUUAGCUAGUUGGUAAGGUAACGGCUUACCAAGGCAACGAUGCAUAGCCGACCUGAGAGGGUGAUCGGCCACACUGGAACUGAGACACGGUCCAGACUCCUACGGGAGGCAGCAGUAGGGAAUCUUCCGCAAUGGGCGAAAGCCUGACGGAGCAACGCCGCGUGAGUGAUGAAGGUCUUCGGAUCGUAAAACUCUGUUAUUAGGGAAGAACAUAUGUGUAAGUAACUGUGCACAUCUUGACGGUACCUAAUCAGAAAGCCACGGCUAACUACGUG